rnacentral:rRNA from 1 species
CUACGGAGGCUGCAGUGGGGAAUAUUGGACAAUGGGCGAAAGCCUGAUCCAGCCAUGCCGCGUGUGUGAAGAAGGCCUUCGGGUUGUAAAGCACUUUCAGUGGGGAAGAAAGCCUUGGGGCUAAUACCCUCGAGGAAGGACAUCACCCACAGAAGAAGCACCGGCUAACUCCGUGCCAGCAGCCGCGGUAAUACGGAGGGUGCGAGCGUUAAUCGGAAUUACUGGGCGUAAAGCGCGCGUAGGCGGUCUGAUAAGCCGGUUGUGAAAGCCCCGGGCUCAACCUGGGAACGGCAUCCGGAACUGUCAGGCUAGAGUGCAGGAGAGGAAGGUAGAAUUCCCGGUGUAGCGGUGAAAUGCGUAGAGAUCGGGAGGAAUACCAGUGGCGAAGGCGGCCUUCUGGACUGACACUGACGCUGAGGUGCGAAAGCGUGGGUAGCAAACAGGAUUAGAUACCCUAGUAGUC